rnacentral:rRNA from 1 species
CUUGGUCAUUUAGAGGAAGUAAAAGUCGUAACAAGGUUUCCGUAGGUGAACCUGCGGAAGGAUCAUUAUUGAAUAAACUCGGUGGGUUGUUGCUGGCCUCAUAGAGGCAUGUGCACACCUUCCUGUUUCUUCUUUCACCCCCUGUGCACACUCUGUAGGCUUGGAUAACUUUCGAGGAAACUCGGUUGGGGAGCUUUCUUUGAUAAGAAGACUGCUUCUACAUUUCCAGUCUACGUCUUCCAUAUACACCACUGUAUGUCAUAGAAUGAACAAUUUGGGCCUUUACAAGCCUAUAAAUUUUAAACAACUUUCAACAACGGAUCUCUUGGCUCUCGCAUCGAUGAAGAACGCAGCGAAAUGCGAUAAGUAAUGUGAAUUGCAGAAUUCAGUGAAUCAUCGAAUCUUUGAACGCACCUUGCGCUCCUUGGUAUUCCGAGGAGCAUGCCUGUUUGAGUGUCAUUAAAUUCUCAAUCCUUAUGAUUUUUCUUUCAUAUGGACUUGGAUCUGGGAGGCUGCAGGCUUCUUAUUUGAAGUCUGCUCUCCUCAAAUGCAUUAGUUGGACUUUUUGCAACAGCCGAUGGCGUGAUAAUUAUCUACGUCUCAUCUGAUGCAGUUUCUACAGUCUUGCUUCCAACCGUCCGUUUAAUCGGACAACUCUUUUGACAAUUUGACCUCAAAUCAGGUAGGACUACCCGCUGAACUUAAGCAUAUCAAUAAGCGGAGGA